AGUGAACGCUGGCGGUAGGCCUAACACAUGCCAGUCGAACGGCAGCACAGUAAGAGCUUGCUCUUACGGGUGGCGAGUGGCGGACGGGUGAGGAAUACAUCGGAAUCUACUUUUUCGGGGGGGAUAACGUAGGGAAACUUACGCUAAUACCGCAUACGACCUACGGGUGAAAGCAGGGGAUCUUCGGACCUUGCGCGAUUGAAUGAGCCGAUGUCGGAUUAGCUAGUUGGCGGGGUAAAGGCCCACCAAGGCGACGAUCCGUAGCUGGUCUGAGAGGAUGAUCAGCCACACUGGAACUGAGACACGGUCCAGACUCCUACGGGAGGCAGCAGUGGGGAAUAUUGGACAAUGGGCGCAAGCCUGAUCCAGCCAUACCGCGUGGGUGAAGAAGGCCUUCGGGUUGUAAAGCACUUUUGUUGGGAAAGAAGAGCAGCAGGUUAAUACCCCGCUGUUCUGACGGUACCCAAAGAAUAAGCACCGGCUAACUUCGUG
rnacentral:rRNA from 1 species